GAAAGCAAACGAAACAGGGAAGAAACAGGGGAGAAAGAAAGAAAGAAAAAGAAAAAGGAAAAUUUGGGUUUCAAGGCUCAAAGUUUAAUUUGAAAUCUCGGCUAAGAAAGGACAAGACAAAGUCAACGGGAGUUAGCUCGAAAAUUACGGUUUAGUAAAGAUAGAACGUUGAAUCAGCAUCCCAGUUCGAUCCCGAAUUCAUUAAGGUAAAGUGUGUUAAUUAUUGGUAAUGGCAUGUACCUAGGAUGUUUUAUGAGAGUCAUUUAGGUUGUAGAUGUACUCAUGAAAUGAGUAAAUUAUGGUUGGCAAUGGUAUGUAGUAUAAAUUUUGAAAUUUACUAAAAAUUCGUA